rnacentral:rRNA from 1 species
UGGGGAAUAUUGCGCAAUGGGGGGAACCCUGACGCAGCCAUGCCGCGUGAAUGAAGAAGGCCUUCGGGUUGUAAAGUUCUUUCGGUAUUGAGGAAGGUUGAUGUGUUAAUAGCACAUCAAAUUGACGUUAAAUACAGAAGAAGCACCGGCUAACUCCGUGCCAGCAGCCGCGGUAAUACGGAGGGUGCGAGCGUUAAUCGGAAUAACUGGGCGUAAAGGGCACGCAGGCGGUUAUUUAAGUGAGGUGUGAAAGCCCUGGGCUUAACCUAGGAAUUGCAUUUCAGACUGGGUAACUAGAGUACUUUAGGGAGGGGUAGAAUUCCACGUGUAGCGGUGAAAUGCGUAGAGAUGUGGAGGAAUACCGAAGGCGAAGGCAGCCCCUUGGGAAUGUACUGACGCUCAUGUGCGAAAGCGUGGGGAGCAAACAGGAUUAGAUACCCUGGUAGUCCACGCUGUAAACGCUGUCGAUUUGGGGGUUGGGGUUUAACUCUGGCGCCCGUAGCUAACGUGAUAAAUCGACCGCCUGGGGGAGUACGGCCGCAAGGUU